AUUCUGCAAGCCACCCUGGGGUGCAGCUGAGCUAGACAUGGGACGGCGAGACGCCCAGCUCCUGGCAGCGCUCCUCGUCCUGGGGCUAUGUGCCCUGGCGGGGAGUGAGAAACCCUAGAUGGGGUUUCGACAUGUUGCCCAGGAUGGUCUUGAACUCCUGAGCUCAAGCAAUCUGCCCGCCUCGGCUUCCUAAAGUGCUGGGAUUAUAGCCCCCUGCCAGUGCUCCAGGCUGAGCCCCCAUAACAGGACGAACUGCGGCUUCCCUGGAAUCACCAGUGACCAGUGUUUUGACAAUGGAUGCUGUUUCGACUCCAGUGUCACUGGGGUCCCCUGGUGUUUCCACCCCCUCCCAAAGCAAGAGUCGGAUCAGUGCGUCAUGGAGGUCUCAGACCGAAGAAACUGUGGCUACCCGGGCAUCAGCCCCGAGGAAUGCGCCUCUCGGAAGUGCUGCUUCUCCAACUUCAUCUUUGAAGUGCCCUGGUGCUUCUUCCCGAAGUCUGUGGAAGACUGCCAUUACUAAGAGAGGCUGGUUCCAGAGGAUGCAUCUGGCUCACCGGGUGUUCCGAAACCAAAGAAGAAACUUCGCCUUAUCAGCUUCAUACUUCAUGAAAUCCUGGGUUUUCUUAACCAU
rnacentral:lncRNA from 1 species